UACGUAGGGUGCGAGCGUUAAUCGGAAUUACUGGGCGUAAAGUGUGCGCAGGCGGCCGAGCAAGUCGAGUGUGAAAGCCCCGAGCUUAACUUGGGAACUGCGCUCGAAACUACUUGGCUAGAGUGUGGCAGAGGGAGGUGGAAUUCCACGUGUAGCGGUGAAAUGCGUAGAGAUGUGGAGGAACACCGAUGGCGAAGGCAGCCUCCUGGGCCAACACUGACGCUCAUGCACGAAAGCGUGGAGAGCAAACAGG
rnacentral:rRNA from 1 species